UUGGCUUAUAAUUAAUUUAGUUAUGUUACUUAUAUAUUUCUAUUUUUCCUGCUGAUUUUUAAUGUUAUAACAUAAGAUUUGUUGUGACGAGCUAGUAAUAUUUUAAAAUUUUUAUAGGAUUGGAAGUCAUGUAAAUAUCUAAAUUACAUCUUAUCUAAAAGCAAAAUUACUUUCCAUCACUGGACAACUUAAUUAAUUGCCUUUUUCUUAAUUAUUCUUGGUCACGUUUAAUAUUUUCAUUAAAUUACUUUUAUUAGUAUUAAAUUAUGGAAGUACAACUGUUGUGCUUGAUCUAUAUUGAAUAUUUUUUUUUUUAAAAUCUAUAUUAAAUAUUAUUUUAAUUGUAAAAAGAAUCACAAAGAAGCCUUCGGAUGAAUUAUACAAUAAAUAUUAGAUCUCAUGUAAAUAAAUUUAUAAAUUAAGAAUGCAGAAUUAUACAAUAAAUAUUAGAUCUCAUGUAAAUAAUUUAUAAAUUAACAAUAUGCAGCACCAUCAAAACAAACGACAAAGAAAAAGGUGCAAAUUUACCAUUUUAUUUAUUUAUUUGUUACUUUCUGUGAAUAUUCAUAAAAAUGUAUAUUAUUAUUUCAACAAUUUUUUGUUUACUUAAGCACCACGCUAUACUGAUAUUCGACAAAUAUAUUGGAAAUUUCAAUAAAAUUAUAAAUAAUUUAAUUGAAACAAAAAGAAAAAGCGUGCAAGUUUAACAAAAAAAGGAUCUAGUAUGAAUCAUUAACUUGAGUUUUACUUGAAAUAGUCCAAAUUUUAACAUUUGAUGUCUAAUAUUUCUUGAUGGUGAAAAGAGCAAUAUCUAAGUGGGGUAAAAAAGUAUUCGUGCUAAUGUUUUUGUACUAAUAUUUCGCUGAUUAAUUAUUCAAAGAACUAAAGAAACACUAAAAGUGGUUAUUUUUAUUUGUUCAGAAUUCCAAAAGAUAAUCAAUAAUUUAUAGUUAAUUCAAGUUGACAAAAAAAUUCGGAUAAUGAAAAUUACAUUGAUUUGAUAUAAAUAUCUAACACGGAUAAAUUUUAUCUAUAUAUAUUUACCUCCUAAUUGGCGCUGAGGAGUCUUCAUCUUGACAUCCAUCGUCACUUCCCAUGCUGGUAAAAAAGGGGUCAACCCGGUGACGCAUCGACGUCUUGAGCAAGUGAGAGCCAUGAUCCAAGGCCGGGUGCUGUCGCAAUCCGCAUAAGUAACUUUAAUCGAAGAUUGCGCAACUGCCAAUAAAGACAUUGCUCUACGACUCCUUAGAGGUUGGGGAGUGGAAGAAGAUUCAUCAAUUUCAGGUGAAGCAGAAAGGAAGAAAGUGAUGCAAUUCAUAAAUAUUGCUUGCUUAAGAGAUAUCAAUGAAGACAAACAAAAGUUACUUGCGCUAACUUCACAAAAGGGGGAAUGCGACAUUUAAAGAAAAGGAAAAAAUUAUAAAAAAAAGGAGGUAAUGCAUUUGUAAGGGGGAAGCUAAAAAAAGGAAAAAAGUGAGGAUUAAAGUGAAACUGAUGAGAGUGCAUUGCAACAAGUUGUACCACAUGUUUCAUUUGUUGAACAAACUAAGGGCAUAUUGAUAGGGGGAACAAUGAAACUUGAAACUGAGUCUACAAAAGUAUGUGAUUGUUGGAUCAUGUUGUUCUUUUUCAAACGAUAAUGGAUGAAUUGUGACACCAAGAAGGGAGCAUUAUGAAAAGAAUAAGUUAGAAUUGGGGAUGAUUAAGAUUGCAUGAACUCCCCUUAAUUAUUGGUUAGAAUAAUUGUUCUCCUAACUUUAUGAGCUAAAAUGUUAUUCAAUUAAGUCUUACAAAUUCAGUUGUAUGUCCCAAUUCCAGAUCCUUUACUUGUCUUAACCUAAUUUUGUAUUAUAUUGUGUAGAGAAAUGGUAAAAACAAGCAAUGAUGAUCACAAAAUUGCUCUUAUAAGAUAUGUUAUAUAUUGAUUGAGGUUAAUAUUUUAUAAAGUGAAACAGUUGAGCACUCA